rnacentral:rRNA from 1 species
CGCUGACGACCGGCGCACGGGUGAGUAACACUUAUCCAACCUACCACCCUUAAGGGGAUAGCCUUUCGAAAGAAAGAUUAAUACCCGAUAGUAUAGCGAUAAGGCAUCUUAUUGCUAUUAAAGAAUUUCGGUGUUUGAUGGGGAUGCGUUCCAUUAGAUUGUUGGUGAGGUAACGGCUCACCAAGUCUUCGAUGGAUAGGGGUUCUGAGAGGAAGGUCCCCCACAUUGGAACUGAGACACGGUCCAAACUCCUACGGGAGGCAGCAGUGGGGAAUAUUGGUCAAUGGACGAGAGUCUGAACCAGCCAAGUAGCGUGAAGGAUGAAGGCCCUAUGGGUCGUAAACUUCUUUUAUAGGGGAAUAAAGUGCGGAACGUGUUCCGUUUUGUAUGUACCCUACGAAUAAGGAUCGGCUAACUCCGUGCCAGCAGCCGCGGUAAUACGGAGGAUCCGAGCGUUAUCCGGAUUUAUUGGGUUUAAAGGGAGCGUAGGUGGACGUAUAAGUCAGUUGUGAAAGUUUGCGGCUCAACCGUAAAAUUGCAGUUGAUACUGUAUGUCUUGAGUGUACAAGAGGUGGGCGGAAUUCGUGGUGUAGCGGUGAAAUGCUUAGAUAUCACGAAGAACUCCGAUUG